rnacentral:rRNA from 1 species
AGAUUGGGAUAACUCCGGGAAACCGGAGCUAAUACCGGAUAACAUUUCGAACCGCAUGGUUCGAAAUUGAAAGAUGGUUUCGGCUAUCACUUACAGAUGGACCCGCGGCGCAUUAGCUAGUUGGGGAGGUAACGGCUCACCAAGGCGACGAUGCGUAGCCGACCUGGGAGGGUGAUCGGCCACACUGGGACUGAGACACGGCCCAGACUCCUACGGGAGGCAGCAGUAGGGAAUCUUCCGCAAUGGACGAAAGUCUGACGGAGCAACGCCGCGUGAACGAUGAAGGCCUUCGGGUCGUAAAGUUCUGUUGUUAGGGAAGAACAAGUACCAGAGUAACUGCUGGUACCUUGACGGUACCUAACCAGAAAGCCACGGCUAACUACGUGCCAGCAGCCGCGGUAAUACGUAGGUGGCAAGCGUUGUCCGGAAUUAUUGGGCGUAAAGCGCGCGCAGGCGGUUUCUUAAGUCUGAUGUGAAAGCCCACGGCUCAACCGUGGAGG